GACGAACGCUGGCGGCGUGCUUAACACAUGCAAGUCGAACGGAAAGGCCCUGCUUUUGUGGGGUGCUCGAGUGGCGAACGGGUGAGUAACACGUGAGUAACCUGCCCUUGACUUUGGGAUAACUUCAGGAAACUGGGGCUAAUACCGGAUAGGAGCUCCUGCUGCAUGGUGGGGGUUGGAAAGUUUCGGCGGUUGGGGAUGGACUCGCGGCUUAUCAGCUUGUUGGUGGGGUAGUGGCUUACCAAGGCUUUGACGGGUAGCCGGCCUGGGAGGGUGACCGGCCACAUUGGGACUGAGAGACGGCCCAGACGCGUACGGGAGGCAGCAGUGGGGAAUAUUACGCAGUGGGCGGAAGCCUGAUGCAGCAACGCCGCGUGCGUGAUAACGGCCUUCGGGUUGUAAACCGCUUUCGCCUGUGACGAAGCGUGAGUGACGGUAAUGGAUAAAGAAGCACCGGCUAACUACGUG
rnacentral:rRNA from 1 species